GGCUUGGUGGUCUAGCGGUAUGAUUCUCGCUUAGGGUACACCCUAUGAUUGUUGCUUAGGACAACUCCUACAGCUGCUUGCGAGAGGUCCCGGGUUCAAGUCCCGGCCAAGCCC